rnacentral:rRNA from 1 species
CCCCGGUAAACGGCGGCCGUAACUAUAACGGUCCUAAGGUAGCGAAAUUCCUUGUCGGGUAAGUUCCGACCUGCACGAAUGGCGUAAUGAUGGCCAGGCUGUCUCCACCCGAGACUCAGUGAAAUUGAACUCGCUGUGAAGAUGCAGUGUACCCGCGGCAAGACGGAAAGACCCCGUGAACCUUUACUAUAGCUUGACACUGAACAUUGAGCCUUGAUGUGUAGGAUAGGUGGGAGGCUUUGAAGUGUGGACGCCAGUCUGCAUGGAGCCGACCUUGAAAUACCACCCUUUAAUGUUUGAUGUUCUAACGUGGACCCGUAAUCCGGGUUGCGGACAGUGUCUGGUGGGUAGUUUGACUGGGGCGGUCUCCUCCUAAAGAGUAACGGAGGAGCACGAAGGUUGGCUAAUCCUGGUCGGACAUCAGGAGGUUAGUGCAAUGGCAUAAGCCAGCUUGACUGCGAGCGUGACGGCGCGAGCAGGUGCGAAAGCAGGUCAUAGUGAUCCGGUGGUUCUGAAUGGAAGGGCCAUCGCUCAACGGAUAAAAGGUACUCCGGGGAUAACAGGCUGAUACCGCCCAAGAGUUCAUAUCGACGGCGGUGUUUGGCACCUCGAUGUCGGCUCAUCACAUCCUGGGGCUGAAGUAGGUCCCAAGGGUAUGGCUGUUCGCCAUUUAAAGUGGUACGCGAGCUGGGUUUAGAACGUCGUGAGACAGUUCGGUCCCUAUCUGCCGUGGGCGCUGGAGAACUG